rnacentral:rRNA from 1 species
AUUGAACGCUGGCGGCAUGCCUUACACAUGCAAGUCGAACGAAGUCUUCGGACUUAGUGGCGGACGGGUGAGUAACACGUGGGAACGUGCCUUUAGGUUCGGAAUAACUCAGGGAAACUUGUGCUAAUACCGAAUGUGCCCUUCGGGGGAAAGAUUUAUCGCCUUUAGAGCGGCCCGCGUCUGAUUAGCUAGUUGGUGAGGUAAAGGCUCACCAAGGCGACGAUCAGUAGCUGGUCUGAGGGGAUGAUCAGCCACAUUGGGACUGAGACACGGCCCAAACUCCUACGGGAGGCAGCAGUGGGGAAUCUUGCGCAAUGGGCGAAAGCCUGACGCAGCCAUGCCGCGUGAAUGAUGAAGGUCUUAGGAUUGUAAAAUUCUUUCACCGGGGACGAUAAUGACGGUACCCGGAGAAGAAGCCCCGGCUAACUUCGUGCCAGCCGCCGCUGUAACAC